AGUGAACGCUGGCGGUAGGCCUAACACAUGCAAGUCGAACGGCAGCACAGUAAGAUCUUGCUCUUACGGGUGGCGAGUGGCGGACGGUUGAGGAAUACAUCGGAAUCUACUUUUUCGUGGGGGAUAACGUAGGGAAACUUACGCUAAUACCGCAUACGACCUACGGGUGAAAGCAGGGGAUCUUCGGACCUUGCGCGAUUGAAUGAGCCGAUGUCGGAUUAGCUAGUUGGCGGGGUAAAGGCCCACCAAGGCGACGAUCCGUAGCUGGUCUGAGAGGAUGAUCAGCCACACUGGAACUGAGACACGGUCCAGAAUCCUACGGGAGGCAGCAGUGGGGAAUAUUGGACAAUGGGCGCAAGCCUGAUCCAGCCAUACCGCGUGGGUGAAGAAGGCCUUCGGGUUGUAAAGACCUUUUGUUGGGAAAGAAAAGCAGCAGGUUAAUACCCCGCUGUUCUGACGGUACCCAAAGAAUAAGCACCGGCUAACUUCGUG
rnacentral:rRNA from 1 species